GAUAGUGAACCAGUACCGUGAGGGAAAGGCGAAAAGAACCCCGGCGAGGGGAGUGAAAAAGAACCUGAAACCGUGUACGUACAAGCAGUGGGAGCACAGGUUUACCUGUGUGACUGCGUACCUUUUGUAUAAUGGGUCAGCGACUUAUAUUCUGUAGCAAGGUUAACCGUAUAGGGGAGCCGUAGGGAAACCGAGUCUUAACCGGGCGUUAAGUUGCAGGGUAUAGACCCGAAACCCGGUGAUCUAGCCAUGGGCAGGUUGAAGGUUGGGUAACACUAACUGGAGGACCGAACCGACUAAUGUUGAAAAAUUAGCGGAUGACCUGUGGCUGGGGGUGAAAGGCCAAUCAAACCGGGAGAUAGCUGGUUCUCCCCGAAAGCUAUUUAGGUAGCGCCUCGUGAAUUCAUCUCCGGGGGUAGAGCACUGUUUCGGCUAGGGGGCCAUCCCGGCUUACCAACCCGAUGCAAACUGCGAAUACCGGAGAAUGUUAUCACGGGAGACACACGGCGGGUGCUAACGUCCGUCGUGAAGAGGGAAACAACCCAGACCGCCAGCUAAGGUCCCAAAGUCAUGGUUAAGUGGGAAACGAUGUGGGAAGGCCCAGACAGCCAGGAUGUUGGCUUAGAAGCAGCCAUCAUUUAAAGAAAGCGUAAUAGCUCACUGGUCGAGUCGGCCUGCGCGGAAGAUGUAACGGGGCUAAACCAU
rnacentral:rRNA from 2 species